AUUGAACGCUGGCGGCAGGCCUAACACAUGCAAGUCGAGCGGAUGAAGGGAGCUUGCUCCUGGAUUCAGCGGCGGACGGGUGAGUAAUGCCUAGGAAUCUGCCUGGUAGUGGGGGAUAACGUCCGGAAACGGGCGCUAAUACCGCAUACGUCCUGAGGGAGAAAGUGGGGGAUCUUCGGACCUCACGCUAUCAGAUGAGCCUAGGUCGGAUUAGCUAGUUGGUGGGGUAAAGGCCUACCAAGGCGACGAUCCGUAACUGGUCUGAGAGGAUGAUCAGUCACACUGGAACUGAGACGCGGUCAUGACUCCUACGGGAGGCAGCAGUGGGGAAUAUUGGACAAUGGGCGAAAGCCUUAUCCAGCCAUGCCGCGUGUGUGAAGAAGGUCUUCGGAUUGUAAAGCACUUUAAGUUGGGAGGAAGGGCAGUAAGUUAAUACCUUGCUGUUUUGACGUUACCAACAGAAUAAGCACCGGCUAACUUCGUG
rnacentral:rRNA from 1 species